GCACCCAUUUCCUCCAGAAUUCCUUUCUUCUUCCUCUCUCUUCUCUAUCUAGCCGUUGCCCCUCCGCCGCCACCAGAAAUCGCACACCGGCAGCGAACCAUCUCCAAACACCUCCAAAUUUACACCAUGUAAUCUCCACAACCUCCUCUUUCCAUGGCUCCAAACCAAAUCCUUCAAAAACCCCUCAAAAUCCUUGAAUCUUAGAUCUAGAAAAUUUUAGCCGCCACUUUUUUCCCCCAAAUUCUUGAAGCUCCGGCCACUACCACCCCACAAUACCUACAUCAACUGAUAGAGCUCCUCAAGACCUACCUAUUUAUGUCAAUUUCACCCCGAAAAUUCGCCGACCAAAAAUCCUGCCAAAUUCUGGCGACCUCCCCGAAUGCCCACGUUCGGCAUACCACCAUUGUUUUGGCCACUUGAAUUGUGAAAUGGUAAAAAUACUAUUCUUUUUUUCGUGGCUGAUUUUUUAUUUUAUUUUUAUUUUUUCAGAUUUUAUUUUGUCUCUUAUUAAAUAUUUUAGCAUUAGCUUUUGAAGUUUGAAAUGAUAAAUUUUAUGUUUUUGCACUUGUUGAAGUAGUAUAAUAGUUUUGUAUUGAUAAAAGUGAGGUCGUGAAGGAAUACUUGACAGUAUAUGGUACUUGUUUGGUUGCUUAUUUACUGCUUUGGAGAUUUUUUGAGUACAAAACUCAAAAGUUAUUUGUUUGGUAAGAAAAUAUGGACUUUUGGAUAGGUUUUGAAUAAAAGUUUGUCUUUAAAUAGUGAAGAGCAGAUUUUAGUUAGAAUGCUCUCUUUUGGACAAGAUUGAACAAAAAAGUCUUGCCUUUUGAAUUUAAGUGCAGAUUUUGUGGAAAAUCUGUCAAAAAAGAUUAAUUUUUAAUCAUGAAAUAAUUGGUUGUUUCUCAUAUAUAAAACAUACGUCUUCAUAGCAAUAGAGAUCUGGACACACAAAAAAAAAAAGGAGAGAAGAAUCAGCAGCUAAAGCAUUCAUUAGUAGCUAAAAAUUGUGAGUCUCUGUGAGUUGAUUCUUAAGUGCAAAAGGAUUUUUUUACAAAAGAUAGUAGUCUUUAAAGCUUCUUCUGGAGUUACAUAAUUGCUGGUUUCAACUGUUUUGCUGGGUAUUUCUCGUUCAUUUUCUUGGGUUUGAAAUGUGCUGGUUGUCAUUGUCUUUUGCUGUGUUGCUGCCCCUUUAAUUGUUUUGUUAUCCGCUUCUUGACUUUUGAAAGAGUUAACUUUGCUGUAUUUGUUCUUCUUUCUGUUGUCCAGGUAAUUUUCGGACCAUGUAAACUCCUAAAAUCGAGUUGGAAUGAAAGAUAAUGAUGCUAGAAAAUAUUAGCAGCUUUUGGAUAAUGUUAUGACUAUAUAUUAGAUAAUUAAACUGUGUCAAGCAUCUUUAUUUUUAUUUUUUUCUAAAGUGUUGGAUAUAAUUCCACUAGGCCCUCAGUUGCUUGGUUGUAUGAAAGGAGUAUAUAUUAAAAUUUGAACCCAUGUAGCUAUGUUUGUCCCUUUGUUGUUGCCAAGCUAAUUUUUAUUUUUAGAGUCCCACUAAUCUUGCUUAUUUUUUGCAAAGGUUUAUUUUAGUAAGGUAGUUAAGCUAUGAAUAGAAAGAUACUCUCUGUAAACUUAUUUUUGUAAA
rnacentral:lncRNA from 1 species